rnacentral:rRNA from 1 species
UCGGAACAUACCCUAGAGUGGGGGAUAACGUAGCGAAAGUUACGCUAAUACCGCAUACGCACUAAGGUGGAAAGCAGGGGAUCGCAAGACCUUGCGCUCAUGGAGUGGCCGAUGUCAGAUUAGCUAGUUGGUGAGGUAAAAGCUCACCAAGGCGACGAUCUGUAGCUGGUCUGAGAGGACGACCAGCCACACUGGAACUGAGACACGGUCCAG